GUGCUCACUUCGGCAGCACAUGUACUAAAACUGGAGCAACACAGAGAAGAUUAGGUUGCCCUGUGAAAGGAUGACACACAAAUAAAUAUGUGAAGCAUUCUA